GGGGUUGUGGCUCAGUGGUAGAGCGCUUGCUUCACGCGUAUGAGGCACUGGGUUCAAUCCUCAGAACCACA
rnacentral:tRNA from 1 species